UAAAAUUGCAGUUGAAACUGUGGGGCUUGAGUACGGUCGCGGCAUGCGGAAUUCGUGGUGUAGCGGUGAAAUGCAUAGAUAUCACGAAGAACCCCGAUUGCGAAGGCAGCAUGCCAGUCCGCCACUGACGUUGAGGCUCGAAGGUGCGGGUAUCAAACAGGAUUAGAUACCCUGGUAGUCCGCACGGUAAACGAUGGACACCCGCUGUCGGCGAUAUACUGUCGGCGGCCAAGCGAAAGCGUUAAGUGUCCCACCUGGGGAGUACGCCGGCAACGGUGAAACUCAAAGGAAUUGACGGGGGCCCGCACAAGCGGAGGAACAUGUGGUUUAAUUCGAUGAUACGCGAGGAACCUUACCCGGGCUUGAACUGCGCCUGAAUGUGCCGGAAACGGUACAGCCGCAAGGCAGGCGCGGAGGUGCUGCAUGGUUGUCGUCAGCUCGUGCCGUGAGGUGUCGGCUUAAGUGCCAUAACGAGCGCAACCCUUGUCCCCAGUAGCCAGCACGUUAAGGUGGGCACUCUGAGGAGACUGCCGGGGAUAACCCGGAGGAAGGUGGGGAUGACGUCAAAUCAUCAUGCCCCUUACGUCCGGGGCUACACACGUGUUACAAUGGGGAGUACAGAGGGCAGCUACCGGGCGACCGGAUGCGAAUCCCGAAAGCUCCUCUCAGUUCGGACUGGAGUCUGCAACCCGACUCCACGAAGCUGGAUUCGCUAGUAAUCGCGCAUCAGCCACGGCGCGGUGAAUACGUUCCCNNNNCUUGUACACACCGCCCGUCAAGCCAUGAAAGCCGGGNNNNNNNGAAGUACGUAAGCGCGAGGAUCGUCCUAGGGUAAAACCGGUAAUUGGGGAUAGGUCGUAACAAGGUAACCA
rnacentral:rRNA from 1 species